AGAAUCAACGCUGGCGGCGUGCCUAACACAUGCAAGUCGCACGAGAAAGGGGAGCAAUCCCUGAGUACAGUGGCGCACGGGUGAGUAACACGUGAAUAAUCUACCUCCGAGUGGGGAAUAACUGAGAGAAAUCUUAGCUAAUACCGCAUAAUACCCACGGGUCAAAGCAGUAAUGCGCUUGGAGAGGAGUUCGCGGCAGAUUAGUUAGUUGGCGGGGUAAUGGCCCACCAAGACGAUGAUCUGUAUCCGGCCUGAGAGGGCGCACGGACACACUGGAACUGAAACACGGUCCAGACUCCUACGGAGGCAGCAGUGGGGAAUUUUGCGCAAUGGGGAAACCCUGACGCAGCAACGCCGCGUGGAGGAUGAAGCCCCGUUGGGUGUAAACUCCUUUCGAUCGGGAAGAUAAUGACGGUACCGAUAUAAGAGCCCCGGCUAACUUCGUGCCAGCAGCCGAC
rnacentral:rRNA from 1 species